UAGCAUAUCAAUAAGCGGAGGAAAAGAAACUAACAAGGAUUCCCCUAGUAACUGCGAGUGAAGCGGGAAAAGCUCAAAUUUAAAAUCUGGCGGUUUUGGCCGUCCGAGUUGUAGUCUAGAGAAGUGUCUUCCGCGCUGGACCGUGUACAAGUCUCUUGGAACAGAGCGUCAUAGAGGGUGAGAAUCCCGUCUUUGACACGGACUACCAGUGCUUUGUGAUGCGCUCUCAAAGAGUCGAGUUGUUUGGGAAUGCAGCUCAAAAUGGGUGGUAAAUUCCAUCUAAAGCUAAAUAUUGGCGAGAGACCGAUAGCGAACAAGUACCGUGAGGGAAAGAUGAAAAGCACUUUGGAAAGAGAGUUAAACAGUACGUGAAAUUGCUGAAAGGGAAACGCUUGAAGUCAGUCGCGUCAGUCAGAACUCAGCCUUGCUUUUGCUUGGUGCAUUUUCUGGUUGACGGGCCAGCAUCAGUUUUGACUGCGGGAAAAAGGUCAGAGGAAUGUGGCACCUUCGGGUGUGUUAUAGCCUCUGGUUGCAUACCGUGAUUGGGACUGAGGAACUCAGCACGCCUUUGGUUGUGCUUAGGAUGCUGGCGUAAUGGCUUUAAACGACCCGUCUUGAAACACGGACCAAGGAGUCUAACAUGCCUGCGAGUGUUUGGGUGGUAAACCCGAGCGCGCAAUGAAAGUGAAAGUUGGGAUCUCUGUCGUGGAGAGCACCGACGCCCGGACCAGACCUUCUGUGACGGAUCUGCGGUAGAGCAUGUAUGUUGGGACCCGAAAGAUGGUGAACUAUGCCUGAAUAGGGUGAAGCCAGAGGAAACUCUGGUGGAGGCUCGUAGCGAUUCUGACGUGCAAAUCGAUCUUC
rnacentral:rRNA from 1 species